rnacentral:rRNA from 1 species
GACGAACGCUGGCGGCGUGCUUAACACAUGCAAGUCGAACGGAAAGGCCCUGCUUUUGUGGGGUGCUCGAGUGGCGAACGGGUGAGUAACACGUGAGUAACCUGCCCUUGACUUUGGGAUAACUUCAGGAAACUGGGGCUAAUACCGGAUAGGAGCUCCUGCUGCAUGGUGGGGGUUGGAAAGUUUCGGCGGUUGGGGAUGGACUCGCGGCUUAUCAGCUUGUUGGUGGGGUAGUGGCUUACCAAGGCUUUGACGGGUAGCCGGCCUGAGAGGGUGACCGGCCACAUUGGGACUGAGGUACGGGCCAGACUCCUACGGGAGGCAGCAGGGGGGAAUAUUGCACAAUGGGCGGAAGCCUGAUGCAGCAACGCCGCGUGCGGGAUGACGGCCUUCGGGUUGUAAACCGCUUUCGCCUGGGACGAAGCGUGAGUGACGGUAAUGGGUAAAGAAGCACCGGCUAACUACGUG